CUGCUCGUUUCCUGCUGAAUUUGUUAAGCAGAUUUUUCUCUAAGGCAGUUUCCCUCCUCCUUCCAUGUGGAGUAUUAUUUCUGUAGGUUCACUAUCUCAGGAGAGCCUUGCCUACAAACACACAAAAGCUCAUUAGCUCUUGUGUUUGCAUGUUUAGUUGGGUGUUUGUUUUUACAUGUAUUAGCCUUUGUGGACUUAAGUUUGUGUCAGUACACACGCAUUCCUGUGCAUUGUUGGACCAUAGCUUAACGUUAUGUGAGUCAUUACCUACGUGUGUGUUUUCAGGCAGCUUCAGCUCAUUAUUGAUGAUCAGAGAGCGGAACGUACUGCUUUCGGGAUACGUGCAUGUGUACAUUUGCAAACCCAGCAUGUAUAUACUUUAUGCAAUUUCUGCACCAUAGUGUAUGCCUUUAAAAGAGAUUGUGUUACUAUAGGUUUGUGUAAGCAUUUUAUAUGCAUCAUAUGCAUGACAGCAUAGCUCCUCUGUGUCUUGGUUUGCCGUUUACCCAUGAGAUGUGUAAGCAUGUGUGUAUGUGUAUGAGAGUGUUUCUGUCUUUUAAUAUUUUUUUACCUGGCAUGGGGAGGAGAAGAUCCAGAAACCUUGUUACGCCAGUCGUUUAUUUAGUGGCCUAUCUACUUAAAGACCUGACGCUGGAGCUUUUUACCCAGCCUGCCUUAGGCGAAUCCCUGACACACAACAUAAAUCUCUCCCUCUGGCUGCCAGCAAACCGCACCGUCAUUUCUGUCUAGAGCCAUUUAGACCACUCAGCCUGUGGGGGCCAGCGCUGAUAUCCACAUCAUGUCAGGGUUCAGGAACUGUGUGGAUGAGUCACUGUAAAGCAAAGCUGAGAUGUAUCUUUCAGUACUAUUUAGGGCUGCACGAUAUGGUAAAAAAAAUCAUAUUACGAUUAUUUUGACAGAUACUACAAUUGCGAUAUGAUUCACGAUUAGUGGGAAUGUUCAUUUUAGAAAUGACUAUUGAAAUGAUGAUGUGACAUUUGCUCGGGUCUGUACCAAGCAAACAUGUUUUAUUGCAUCUGGAGAACAAACAUUUGUAGGCCAGGGCAUCUCUGCAGCACUGUAGUAGAGGGUUGGUUACUGAUACCUGUACGGUACCAGUACCUGGACUUCGGUACUGGUACCCAACGGUACUUUACUCUCUCUGUAAUAACAAAAUUGUUAUUUCAGUUGUCCGAGUCCAAACUUCUUAAUUUCAACAUUGUUAUUUAUUUAGAAAUUUUACCUCACUGCUUCACUUAAAGUUUAGUUGUCCAUGGAGGGUAAGUUAACUUCUUCGGCGCUGGCUGCAGGCGUGCUAACGUUAACUACGGCUGCUGCGGGGGACUUUGCUUUUCGGCUUUUCAGCUUUUAAAUACAUUUUAUGUUUGACUAAGAGUUUCCUCAGGUUAGACAUGUUGCCCGGGCCAGCUUUACAGUUUGCAUUACAAAUAUUGCAGUGAGUUUUGAAAAGCGUAACCACACUUGUGACUGCUUUCGGCUCACCAUUGCCCUGACUCGGCAGCCCUUUUUACACAGAGGUCCCGCAAUACUGCCGUAAAGAAGAGCCGUCAUUAUGCCUGCUAUGCUUUUUUACAUUAAACCAAACAACGGCGGUUUGAUUUCGAUAAUAUUUCAAUUCAAUUUUAUUUAUAUAACACCAAUUCAUAACAGAAGUUCUCAUUGCACUUUUCUUAUAGAGCAGGUCUAGACCGUACUCUUUAUAUUAUUUACAAUUACAUUUCAAUUAAUUGUGCAGCCCUAGUACUAUUGUUUGAAUUUGAUAGUUAAAAUAUAUUGUGAGAACAUAGACAUUAUCAAAGUUUAAAUUUAAAGAAUAGGUUAAUACUUUUCCACGUCUGUCUCACAAUGCGCACACGCCAUACUAAAAAAGUUUUUGGUAGCUGCAACUGCAUAUUCCUCCUGUCCGUACUGGCUGUGAGGUGAUCCCUUAUUAGUGUAACUCCUAUGUAAGAGAUGGAUGACCUUGUUCUGUGCCAAAAUGCUGUUGUGUGCCAAAAGUUCAGCCAAAGCUAAUAUGAUGCUUCAACAGUCUGGGUUAGUCAAAUCAAGUGUGUAUCUUCCAAAGUUAGUUGUUUUGUUUUUUUUUUACAAAAUUACCUCUGUGUUUGUGCACUUUAAGGGGAAACACAAACAGGGAAUUUUCUGCUAAAAAGACUUAGAACUUUGGAAGAUACCCAAUAAGUAAUCUAAUGAAAACAAAAGACAAUAUGUCUAUUAUGCUCCAGCUUAAUUACGAAACUAUUCGGAUGUGAAUGAACAUUAUUGUUGGGGACUCAAGCACUUGGUGUUUUCUACGACUGAGUAUAGUCCCAGAUCCACAGCAAUAUAAACGCUCUAUGCCGUUCGUUACUGCCUUUUCUCUCUCUGAAUCUGUGGAAAGAGGCUGCUUGGAUGCCAUGGGGAGAACGACUUGCACCCUAGAGUGUUUUAGACUACUGCAAGUAAUAGACACACUUGGGUAAUGUUGUCCCAAAUUAGUUGGUUUGUUUGAUGUAGCCAUUUCCAGAGACAUAACAUUGCCUUAAUUGGGUUGAACAGUGCUGAUCCACAGUUCUCUUCUGACAUACUCCUGCUUGUCCAGUGUUGCAAUUAUUUACUGGGAAACCAUAAUCUUCCUUCCCUCAUAAUUAUUUGGUUCAUAGGGUCUGGAAAACUGAAACAAGUUGCAUACCGAACAGAGCAUCCUGUACUGAACAUUUUGUGAUUAAUGUGUACUGUCACACUCCUACUAUCCAUUAUAUUACAUUUAGAAUCUGGUAAAUUGUAAACAGUGGCAAGUUAAGUAAUGACCCUCUGGCUACAGGGUGUUGACAUUAAAGUUCACUAACGCAAAUAUUCCCUAAAGCAAACUCUAAGGACAGGAUAUUUCAAACUUAAACUUGGUAUUUUCCUUGUAAUAACGGAAAUACAUAUGCUUUUCUUAACUAUGCUGGUACAGCAUACUCAUUAACAGCACAGGAAUAGUUUGUGCAUGAACAUCAAAGGAUUCUGCAGUGUAGGCCUACUGUUAAAUCAAAGAUUAGGAAGUAAAAAUAAGACAGAAGCAUGAGAAAACAUUUUUUUCCUUCACAAAGAGGGAGGGGAGAGAGAGAGAGGCAGCUGUGAGUUGACGAUAAGACCCAGAAAUGCAUACGUUUUCAUGGCUCAGUCACCCCCACCAAUGCACACUAUACUUCUGCUCUCUGCUUUAAAAGAAACCUCCGUCUUUCAUAUGCUUGGCCUGCCAAACCCCUAAACUGUUGAAGUGGAGUGUCGUCUUGGAUAAAGUCGUCUGUGCCGUGAAUAAAGGGCAGGAAUGCAUUAAACGGCCAAAUCCUUUCGCUUGCAACGGGUACCCAGGCUUUGUGAUUGCUAAAGUGCACAGCUUUAAAGUGAAAAGGCUUGUUCCUCGCAUGAGUCUUGUUUCACUCAGCACCGGCACAUUUUUAGGUGUAUCUGUGAUUGCUGUAGUUUUUUUGGAAAACAACCACAUUUUUAUCUAUAUUUACCUCAGCUUCCGAGCCACUUUCCCCCCCAUCUGUUUAAAUCUUGAAUUGAGCAUGCAUGUGCAAGCAGGAAAAGAUGGCAUGAUUUCGAACAUUACAGGUUUUUGAUCUUAAAUCCCCCUGAACAGGGAGGACUCAUUCAGUCUCUCUGCAGAGUUGAACAUUUGAUCACCUUCGCUUUAAGAUUAAUUGGUGUUAAAUUCAAUCUGUUUCAAGUGCCAGAUAUUAUCAGCCUAAUACCAGGCAUCACAAGGCAUCUAAAGCUGCUUUCCUCAGGCAAAGCUGAUCAGUUUGACUCGAGUGACUACUGUCACUUUACAACUGCAGCACCAGCAGUAAAAGAUGAACAGGUGCAGUGAUUGUCCUGGAAAACGUGGCUCAAAAGUAGGUCAAGUUAACUGAGGCUUGAGAAGGCGUUAUGAUGCCAAUUUUGAGAUCAUGAUAAUUAGUGAGGCAAAGUCAUUAAUCAACUGUCAAGUGGCCAAGAAAUACAGUGUUACAGAAUGUCCUAAUGUGGCAAGACCACAAAGACGGUCUUAAAAAAUGCUAACAGUCAGAAAAUGUUGUUGUGGUCCCAAAACCGGCAGCUUCCAAGAGUGUUAGUACGUGUCUAAAAAAUGAAAUGACAGAAUGGUGAUUACUAGAGCUGUUACUUGGAAGUUGCCAAAAUGCUUCACACAUUAAUGCCAGCUGUCUUUGGAAUGGUAAGAUGGAAGGAGAAAGACCGGCAGGCCAUGUUUUGCUAUGUAUUUUAUUUUAAUCCCAUUUUAUCCCAUUUAAAAAUGUGAUCUAUUUGGUUUGUUUUCAUUUUUUAUUUGACGUUUUUGUUUACAUGUAACACUACAGUUUAAAGAUGUUAACAAUAUCAGUCUUGCAAAAGGCAGGAUUCUCUCUCCUGAACUCUGACUUUUUAAAAAUCAAGGUUGUCUUUCAUUCAGGCCAAUCAACUGGGAAGACAAAUUAUCGAAAGUUUGGUAUAAAAAAAAGUAGCAUCUCUUUCUAAGACAUAUUUCACUAAAGGGUGUUUUCAUAGUCACAUUUGACUGAACUACCAGGGUAAAUAAUUUACAUGAUUCCUAGAAACGUUGUAGCAAAAUCCCAUGUUAUCCUCCUCACUCACACCACCAUGCUAUCUCAUCCCAAGCUAAAACAGUGAAAUAAAACAGUAUCUGUUGAGCUAUUAAGACCUCAGACUAAAAUUAGAACAAGGGAUCAUCACAUUUGAUGAUGUGGAACUGCUUUAUGGGGUUGUGUGCUGGUGGGGGGCACGCUGGCAGCUUAAUGAGCCAUAGGAGUACCAGUUUUGCGCACUUAGUGGGGUCUACCAUAGAGUGAGGUGAAACUGGCAGGGAGGGCUGGCUCAAUACUGAACCAUAAAUGGCUUACUCUUAAUGGUUGCCACAAGGGGCCAACGUUCAUUACUCUCUGCGUGGGGGGACUUUCAACAGGAUCCUGGGGUGAAACUUGUGAGUGCAUGCACACUCACACACACUUAAGUUUGAGGGAGGCACCCCAAGGCGAAGGUGGAAAACUACAGAAACUGUUUUCUUUCCUUCACACCCUCACAGAGAUAUAAUUCCCUUGCAGGACGUGUUAGUGUGGUAGUUAACAGAAUGCCGAAAGCUCCUUCUCAUGGUAGUUUCAUAAUAUUGCUAAUUAUUCAGCGAUUGCGAAAAUAUUCUAUUCUAAUCCAGCACAGCAAAAGCUGGAGUUCUGUGCUAAUACUUCCUCUCUCCUCGCUUCACCUUUUAAAGUAGCCCAAUACCCUAGCUCAGCUGAAACAGCCAACCUAAUGCACACAAAUGCAGACUCAGGCUCCUUCUAAAAUACCAAGCAAAGAUAUUUUACUGCUGCUUUUGCCAUCUAGAGGGGGAGCGAUAUGUAGCGUUAAAUUGGAAGCCACAGCAAUAGUCAUUUAACAGUCUGGCUUUAAGAGAGAAGCCUCAUGAGAUGAAAAUGGUUUUACAAAUUUGAGGAUAUACUAAAAAGAAACAGCUUGGAGGAAGAAGGCCACCUUUUACUUCCAUGAGAUAUAACCUGUAUCUGCAUGGCUUCAUGCAUACUAAAUGGGAUGCUUAGUUAUGACAGGAGCAUUCAGAACUGGUGGAUUAAUUAGUAUAAACACAAACACACACAAAGCAUGAACAAAGCACGCGCGCAACAGCCAAACAGAUUGUUGGUUCUUCUGCAUCUCGUGGGAACUCAUUUCACAGACUUUACCUGCCAGUGAAAUCAGGCAGACAAAUAAAAGCGAGACCUGAGCCUUGCUACACCGUGCUACACAAGAAUCCCUCCCUUACUCUCUGUUUUAACCCAUUUAACUCUACUUUCAGCACUACUUAGGUAUCUAGAAGCACAACUGUUUAAUCCACUGACAAGUGUUGUGGAUGCCCCGGAGUGUGGCCUCAAUGCCCCUUCUAAAAUGAACUACCCACACGAUAUGCCCUGUUUUGAACUGGCUGUUGUGCCCUUAAAAGAAAGUUGCGAAUUUCCUCAUUUAAAACUACAUGCGACGCAGCAAGUAAACUCACAUUUCCCAGUGUCUGUCAUCACGCUGGACAUCAGACAACAGUAGCACGAGAUUUCUCCCACUCCCACAGACAGCUGUGUUAAUGUAACCAAUAAACAUUAACAGCUAACACGCUAGCUAACAUUAGCUAACAAUAAGCGUUAUGUGAUAAGCACAAACAGCUAACAUUAAUAAGCAUUAAUACACGUGUCUAAAGCUUACCGGGAUAUUGCUGCAUAGUGUCAGCUAACUACGAACGUACAUAGAGUUUAUAACUUGUUGUGAGAUCUGACUGGGUGCUACUUUUUCAGUGCAAUGCCACGAAAGGUGUUUUUCCCUGAUAAUGCUAAUGUCACAUUGUGAACAACAAAUCCGUGUUGAAAUAAUAGAAAUAAACUCUGCUGUCAAAUAAACUUUCUUACAGACUGCACAUAUAUCUCAGGAAGCAGCAAACCGGGUUGUUACUUUGGUAACGGCCGAAAAAACUCCUCAAAUACCGUCACACUCACGAUAGACAGUGAAUUAAUAGGUUAUGAGUCGGUGUUUAAUUCGACGUGUAUCUGAUUCACCAAACAGCACGUAUUUUAGUGAGAAAUCUUUUGGAACAGUUCGCAUCACAUUCCCACUGUCUUCUCCCACUAAAAUAGCACAGCUAUCCAACGGAGGCUGGUAGCGAGUAAUUUUUUUUUAAUGCUCCUAUGAUCUCAGACUAAUAGUUGAUCAUUUUGACCACCCUUAGCCUUAUUUAUAGACUUUAUUUUAUUAUUAAAAUAUAACAAUAAAUAUAAUGAGUUCACAUUUAAAAAGACAUCAUUUUGUGGAAAAGUCAAACAUUCAGUGUACAGUUUAAAUAAACUCAUCACUGUAUUUCAAUACACUGACUCCUAAUUGUUGAUCCUGUUUUGUCUUCAUACAAUGUAAUUAUCACUUAUUGUUAUUGCACCAUUGGUUUUGGCUUUUGUGCCCUACAUUUUGGCCCGCAAUGCCCCAAUAAAUUUGUAUUUAUCAAAGGCCAAAGUGGUCUUGCCCUAAAAAUGACUUAAUUCCAGGCCUGAGGGCCCAGGCAUACUUUUACAAAAAUGCAUCCGCACUUGCACAGACAUACACACAUCCCACAACAAUUGAGGGGAUGCUAUGUGUAAUGAAGCACAGGAUGCAUGCUGUGAGCUAUACAAGAUGUGAGAAUACGAGAUAAGGAAAGGGAAGAAUAACAGGAUGAAGAGUCAGGAUGCAUGCUGAUGGGGUGUAUGUCUGUGGAUUAGAAGAGCAGUUCUUGGCCCUGUUUUGUGUUGACUGUUGCCCUGGAACCAUUUCCUCUGGCCUGUGAAAAAGGGGGUAUCCCUUUGCUUGACAUUUCCUGUCAGUAGGCUAUUGUUAGAACAUAAGGAAGGACUAUGGCUCAAAGGGUGGCCAAAGAGUUAGGUAGAAUAACUGAGCUGAAAAUGUAGACCAAUGAUCAGAGGAUCUAAAAGCACUUAGCACUAUUAAUCUAUAAAAAAAAAACUUAUCAACUACACCUACCCCUACAUACAACUGCCUCCUCUGUCAUGCAACAAUGGCAGGAAAGGUCCAGCUGUCAGGGGAGGAAAGAGAGAGGAAGGAAAGGCUCCGACUGUCAACGUGACUGGGGAAGAUAACAUGCACUGUGCUUCCUGUCCCCACCCCUGUAACUAAGGAAACCACAGUGCUCACAACCAAUGGGGAAGAUGGGAGGGAAGGAAUAUAAUUUGUCAUACUCUCCACCAUCGGUUUAAAAAAAAAAGAUUUCUAACUUUAUGUGUCUAUGUGAUCUAAUCUCUCUCUUUGUACUCUGAUCCAAAGGGAUAAUUUACCCAUGCUUCAAUGUGCUUCCAAAUAAUCUGAAUACACAGGAAAGCACCAUGCUUAUGAUGAGAUUAUGAAGUAUACUGACAGAAAACCACAUGGUUAAUGUGAAGGGAAUGAAAUGGGAGAUGGAAACAUUCAGGUGGUCAUUUCCAUCACAGUUAAAUACUGUCAAAUGGCAACACAGCGAAAGGAUAAGACAUGGGCUGCAUUUUAACUGUAAACCUUGGGCAAAUCCUUACAUCAACGGUGACGGUGACAGAUGGGAGCAGCAGGAGCCUGCCAGAAGUGCAGUAUUGAGAAUGUCAACAAACAGAAUGAAAAAAAAAUCUCUUUAUUAAUUAUGUGUUUGGUAGGUGGGGGAGUGACAGAAUGAGGAACAACCACAUUCCUUUCCCUCACUCAUAAUCAGGGAAUGAGGUAUCUUGAUUACAACAAGAAAAGCAUUGAUGCCACAAAACCAAGAGAGAAGCAUACAGUAACACCUGCCUUCAAGUAUGUUUCGUUAGCAAUUCAUCUUCAGUACUAUUUUCUGUGACAGAUGGUCAGACAUCCACACUGAGCACUGACCUAUAGCAAAAGGGUUUUUCCUGGAUCAAAAUGAGAGACAAAGGUGGUACCUCAAACACCUUGUCACCUACUUAAACUUGAUUUAUUUAAAGAGGACAGUAAAUGUAAACAGACAGAUACGCAAGGUCCCAUCUAGCUAUCUAUCUAAAGCACUAUCAUUGAAAAAUAGUGAUUUGGUGUUAAUACAAACCUCAGUUUAAAUAAUUGAUAUAUAGUUUAAAUAAACAUUACAAAGAAAAUAUAGUUAUAAUCUGAUGCAAUCAAAUAUAACAGCCCUGCAAUAACUCCCUCCUUUAGGAAUCUUAUCAUAUUCAUGCUGAUAAGAGUGUGCCAGAGAGGCAUCGAUUCAACUCUGCUUGCUUCACAUGCUGUGUUUGUGUUCUUGUUGUAUUGGAUUGCAUUUUAAUGAAAAAAAAAAAAACAACAACAAAGCAUUAAUGAAAAGAGCUCAAUGUCAUCUUUCCUUUUCGAUAUACACUUGCUCGGUGCCAGCUAAUUAGGUACUCCUAGCUACAACUAAUGCAGUCCACCCAUAAUAAUAUAAAUGAGGUGGACAACAUAUUUGAAACACUGCUCAGUAUAAUGCAAAACAAUUCAACAGCACUACAAACUAAAGCCUUCAAAGUGUCCAUGAUGUUGAAUCAACAACAACACCCCUCCCCAAACUGUUUCAACAAAGACAUUGUGUACGGUAUACCAUCAAUACAAGCAACCACUGACUCAUUCAGACGAAAGUCACCGGUUAACAGCUGAUCCGUAACACUGGUACUUUGACUUUCCCCUUCCUCAUUGCUACCUGGAGGGGUUAUCUUAUCUUGCUAUGUUCACCUCUCAUUAUCUUGAAGUGAUUUUGCAGUUGCAAUUACAGGUGACAGUGGUGCAUUUAACGCAAUGCAGAAUUUGAGGACGCUUAAAUUCUCUAUGCAGAAAAACCCUUGGAAGGAAUGAGUUUUGAACACUGGAAGACAAACAGGUUACAUCACAAAGUGUAUAUAUGUGUCUGUCAGCUGUUGUUUCAUCCCCAGGCACAGGGCCUGCUGGGGCUUGUAGCUACCAUCUCUUCAACUCCAACAGCCAUUCAGUCACUGUCCCUGGGUGUGACAACACACAGACUUACAUCAUAGCUGCUGUCUUUGUGCUCUCCAUUGUUUUCACAGCCUGACAUACCAUUUUGCCAUACCACAUCAAACACCUACUCUUGUAAAAUAAAAAUUAGACAUACAGGAAAUUUGUUAAAUAUCUGGAUGGAUAUGCAUGUUCCCUCUGCCAGAACUUUGUUCUGAGCCAAGUAUCCAUGGAUGGAUCGUGUGCAAGUGUUGGUAAGUCAAACUGGUACAUGGAACUGGAACAAAGAGGUCUGGCACUGUUUAGAGAUGCUUUAGAAAAACUCUGUCUGAUGCACUUCCAGAUAUCAAGAUUGCUUGUCUUGAAGGACAGACAAUGAAAAGAAGAGGAAAAGGCUUCCCCUGACCUACUCCCUUCUGUCUGCAGAUCAUCAGAGGAGCUGCUCUUUGGCUGUGUGUUUGGUCUGGUUGUCUGCUCCUGAAGAUCACCCAGCUGAUCUGUUUUGUCUGCCAAGUCACGCUGAAUGUAGCAUUUCGAGCAUUUAAAAAACAAAGAUGUUGUAAUGGCUGUAACUUCUGGGUCAGAGUGUCAUAAAGGGAGAAGAGGGACAGUCGCUGACUCAACUGUCAUUAACCAAGCCUCCACUAUGCUUAAGCCUUUAAACAUCGAUAUGCCUCAAAGCGCUUGGGUGUGAGGGCUUAACAAUUCUGCAAGUGCAUAGACUGUACAUGUGUACAAUUACAGCGGGUGCAGACAUGUUGUUCUCUACCAACCAACAUUUGAGCAUGGGAGUGAUUGAGGGGAGAGCCAAGCGCAUACUUGGGUCCAUAACGCAGACAGUGAGAGCUGGGCUGAUGCAAACCGACAGACCACGUAGCAGGCCUUUCAUGUCACCACUGGUCCUCACAUGAAAGAGGCAAUGUAGCCCCAAGGCUGGAUUUCUGCCACACAUACGAGUAGAGAGGAAAGCUGCAAAAGAGAAAACAAAUGGAAGAAGGGAGUGGGUGAAGAAAAACCUGGAGAAACAGGAGAUGAGAAGAGAACACCAAGAGAGGGGAAAAAGAGGGUGACGGGAGCUGUGGAGUCACUCUACUAAAAUAAAUAGGUAAAAAGGCAACGCCAGGAAAAAUGAGUCAUUCCCUAAAGAGAACAGAUACUGAUUUUCUCCUUUGGAAAACACCAUGACAACGAUAGAGGGCAAUAUAACAUAAACAGAUGAGAGGGAUGCAUGUACAUGUUUAAGACAGAAAGGAAGAGAUAAAAGGGAGAAAGCAAAGCAAACUGUAUAUGCAUCUGGGGUGCAGACAGGGAGAGUAGGAUUAUAUACAUGGUGAUGAGGGUGGAGGAGCAGAGAGAAAACCGAGAUCUGGUUCAUCGAAAGUGUCAGACGCUCAAUAAAAAUAAGGUUGCAGGAAGAGCUCCCAUCACAAACACCCUAAACUCGUGUCAGAUAAAUACUCACCAAGAAAGAGAAGGGGAGAGGAAAGGAAGGGUGGAACAGGGAAGGGGAGAGAAGGAUUAGAGAGGACAGAAAGAGAAAGUCCAUCUCCUGGCAGACUAUUCUUCACCUGCCUCACCUGCUGUGUCUACACACCGUCCAUCCCAAGCUGCCUUUAACCUUCCCUAGAGGACCACUAACAAUAAAUGAUUUAAUUUACCCACACAAUGCAGGUGAUCACAAACAUAUAUCCAAUCCAAAAUUCUAACUUUUAUAGCAAUGUGAGUCAAAUCACUCCAUCUCUAAAAUCACUGUGCUCCAUGUCAGUAAGCUUGUCCUGGCACAUCCUGCAAGAAAAUAUAUACACCAGACAGACAGGAGCAGCUGUAAUCUUAUCCAAGGCGACAAUAAAGCAACACCUUGUAAGUCUUUUAUGAGCAACAUUCCUAUGCAAUGACACUGAACCGAGAUGGUGCGAGUUAAGGCUAAAGUGUACUGGAGCAGCACCUACAAGGCAUAGAAAGACAGUCUAACUGUGCCAGCUGGUUGUGCAUCAUCAAACUACUUUAAAGUAACUUUUUUUUUUAAACCUCAAUUAGGAGUUGUGUGACCUGUCAAACAUGGCAGCAGGAAUGUUUCUGCACACAUAAGUUACUUAAAAACAACCAAUUUAGCCUAAACUAAAGAUACCCUCCUUGCCACACUGCCUGACAUUGUUGCUAGACCAAGUUAGAAAACAACAACAACAACAACAAAAAUCAAGAAGUCAACUUGAAGUCAAGUAAAACUGGAUGCUUCAUGGAGGUGUUCUUGCAAUCCGUAGAUGCCUCCAGUGUGAAGAUUAUAUUAUAGAUUAGCAACCUAAGAUUUAACCCAUUGAUUGACUGCAGCACCACUACAACACAUGAUGUGCAUUCAUCAUAUGCUCAAUAUAAUGAUGUUUACAUUGUUUCAUUCACUGUACAUUAACACAGGGCAAUAAUUGCAAGGAAAUGGCUUUGCUUGCUGGAUCACAAAAAAUUAAAAGCAUAUGGUUACAGAUCCACACACACACACAAUAUACCCCAAGUAAUCAUGUUAACAUUCUCCUGUCCACUUUGUGAUAGAAAGCCAUGUUUGCGACAAGAGGCUUACACUGGCAAUGGCUUUUCUAGACUGUAUGGCUUUUCUGUAUUGGUUUUGUUUUACAGACAGCACUUGUGUGGAUACUUGUAUGUGAACUGGUAGGAAUGACCCAGUGUGUACGUCUGGCCCAUUAAAGCACAAAAAGCCAUUGUGUAUCAUUAGCUGAGGAGGAGGAAGGGAGAGAGAGAGGGGUGGAGUAUGAAGCUGAGGGAAGGGUUAGUGACCUUCCUCAUAACCAACCAGAUGACCUCAUUCACAGCACAUAGGAAUCUCUGUCUCCCCCCACUGUUCUUUAUCACAUUCACUAUCUUCCCCUCGCUCUCAGCAGCCUUGCUCGCCUUUUUCCUUUCAGCGAACACAAUCAAUCAACUGAGCAGGGACAAGCCUCAUGCUCACUAACCCUUUCAUAUACACAGCACAUUCUUUCCUGCCAGUUAUCUGUGGGUUUUUAUGCCAGUCUUUCCUAUGUUACACACAGUGCUAAAGAGGCUCUUUUUUCACCAAUUAAAGCCUAAUCAUACAAAACCACCCAUUGUUUCUGCUCCGUAAUCUCCCAACCACUGAACUGAUAAGGACAGACAGACUUAAGCCUCAUCACAAACAGACAAGUGGUGACAACCACUAAAUAAACAAAACAGACACAAAACGGUUUCACUUGCAGUUGUAUAACGCUGACUUUGUUCAUGUGCUGCAACUUUGGGUUUGGAAGUGUUGCACAUGGGCAUAAAUUAUGUUUAGCAAAUCAUGUUUUACAUUACAGCACAAGACUGCAGGGCAGACUGCCACUGUAAAACACAACUGUGCAACACAUGUAAUUCUAUAUAGGCUAGACAGUCACUAUGUGACAAUUGAAACAUUGCUGAAUAGGUAGGAUUAAACACAUGUGAAUAUAAGUGGCUGCUCUGUGUGACAUUCCUUUAAGAAAUCUGUGAAAACUUCCUCCAGCAUAAAUUCCAUCAGUACAAGCAGAUAGCAAACAAGUUGAGCAGUACUUUGCUACUUGCAACCCCUCUCUGAUCUGAUGACUUAAGCAUCGGCAUCCAAUCGCAAGCCCGUACAGAGUGACGUGGGCGAUUGGGGGUAGGGUAGGCUGGCACAGGUGGUAGAAACACCAUGAACUUGCAUAACUGAAAUAAGGUCUUUUACCAACAUCUCAAACUUGCACACUAACAGAGAGCUCACUGUACUUUACAGAAAGCCUAUCAGCAUUAUUGCUUUGAGGCUACUCUCCUUCAAAUCUAAUAUGAAAAUAUGAUCAAACCUAUUUCACAGCAAGUAAAGCUGCAAGCACCAAAGGCAACUCAUGUAAAAACACAAUAGCAACAGUGCUUAUUUAACAUACCAGUAAGUGGAGUCCAAAAGUCUUUGUCUACCAACAAAUGUUUUUCAAUUGAUCAAAAUAAAUCUGUAUGUAUAUUUAAAAAUACAUUGUGGGAGCAAUACAAAUCAAAGUGUUUAGCUAUUUGAUAAAAGCCUGUGUGAAAGUGAAAUAUAUCUGAAUAUUGUUUCCAAAACAUUUAGGGGGUUUUCUAAAUGGUGAACCAAACUGAUAUUUGGGUCUGAGAUCUGAUAAAGCCUAAAAUAAUACAGUUGGGUCAUUAUCACUACUGCCUUAACGUCAAACAACAUCUGAAAAACAUUUACACUUGGUUAGAACAAUGUUGACAAUGCUUAUUUCAGCACCGAUUUGUUCUCCUCAGUGCUGAAAAGCUAUCCCAAAGUGGCAGUCCAACACAUACUAGAAAGAUUUUCACACAAUGUGUCAAUUUCAUUCCAAGCAAGAUCAGGAAAAUCUAUAGGGACACCACCAUUUAAAAACAGUGUAGCAAACAUCUAUACAAGACAUCAUCUGCAUUCAAGAUACAAAGCCAGUUGAACAACACCCACCCUGGGUAAACCAUAAACAAAACAUUAUUGGCAAACUGAAGCGUUAUUGUCAGAGAAGCUGUUUGCAAACCAUUUUGUCAAUAUGAAAACAAGUCUAAAUGUUAAGAACAGACCGUGGGUUAUGUUGAUGUUAUUUGACUUCACAUUUUUGUGAACGAUCGCACUGUGCGCCAUAAAAAAAAAAUAAUAAUCACAAAAUAACAUUGGUUUUAGUGAAGGGAUCUGAACUGUAAUUUGCUCAUCCUCCCAAAGUCAGGGUGAAGCCACUAACCAGCUGUAGGGGUGGGUAUCAUUAGGAGUGCGGCACUGCAGUUAAGUGCGGGAUUUGUAAACAGAGUGUACAUAUUUACACAUGGUUCUUUUUUGUCGCGUCCAUAUUUAUGUUGUUAUGAGACGUGUAAAAAUAGUUUUGGUUCAUUAUGGAACUGGCGGGACAAAUUAGUGUUCAUUUUUCUGAUGAGUUUGGUUUUAAUUAGUUAUUUGAUGUUAGCAAGGUGAGCAGCUUAAAGUAGUUUGUGAGUAAACACUACAAUGGUGGAGGAUUAAACUGAAUUUAAACGGUGAAAUAAGAAAUAAUUUACUAGAAACAGGGUAAUAGGAUAUAUAUAUAAAAUAAAUGUGUGAUAUUAUUUUAGGGCCAUUUCGCCCACUCCUAGUGGAGAUGUGUCAUCCAUCUUUUUAUACAGUCUAUGGCUUUGAAAUGUAAGGAUUGAAGAAUGUGUUGACGCUAUAGAGGUUCAGAGAAGCAGCUGAGACUGGUUAAGGUUAGAGUUCCCAGUGCUUCAUAUUUGAUGGCAGAACGCUACAGAGGAAUUUCACUACCUCUUGCCACCUCACUUUCUGUGGCCCUUAGGGGAGGUUAUGGCAGCACCGCCUGCUCUUGCCAAGCCUCACAGAAACAACACGGGCUGCUGAGGGACAGGUAAAUUAUUCAUGUUUGAUUUAUCGGCCAGCCAGCAACUAGUAAGAAACCAAGGCAAAGGCUGCAAACCACAAGCAGACUGAUCCACUGGGGUGUUUUGAAGGAGGAUGGGGCUAGUCAACCUCUUGGAUUAGAGGGUUUGGAUGAGGACGAGGGAGGAAUGUUACAAAGAUAAACAGUCCGUGAGAUAGAGGUGAGUGUGUUGCAAAAUUAGAAGGUUUAAGAAAACAUUACUGGACUUUGAUAUUUUCAUACAAGUGAAAUGGAGCUUGCUAGUGCCAGCCGUGAAGCAAAAACAAAAUACAGACAAAUUAUGCAUUCAACAUUUUUAGAUAUUUAAAGCAAAGUAGAAGUUCCUAUUGCCGCACUGUGGAUGGCAUUCAUAUUAAGCAGAGCUAAAACACACUAUGAGAGAUUGUGUGGGGAAAACAAACACCAGGCUGGAGGUUAAGUGCUCUGACUGUGCUCCCGGUAAAAUUCCUGAGCUGGCUGCCAACACUUGGUUGCCAUUCCUCCUCUGAAAGGAGAGAGAAAAUGAAUGCAGAAGGGUGGGCGAGUUAGAGAGGAACAGAGUGAGCAUUCAGCUCAUUUUUUCACCUCCUUUCUAUGAUAAAAAAUGGGAGAGGAAACAGUAACAAAUGUUGCUGGUAUAAUUUCUGAAAAACCUAAUUGUUAGACACUAUAUCUGUUGUGACAAUUCUUAAAAACAAAGACAGAAAGAGAGAGAGUGAGGCAAUAAGGGGGCCCUAGUAUGAGCGAGGGGGUGGCAGAGCUAUUUGAAGCACUCAAAGUAUGCAAUAGGGUGGGGCCCAUACAUACACUACACUGAGGAAUACACUGAGAAAUACUGUGCGUUGCGUAUCCACACAAAUGUGUGGAGGAAGGACAGGAGCGAUGAUUCAUGAUGUAAUCUAAAUUAGUCAAAAGAAAGCUCGAGAGACAGACCCACCUCUGUGGGAGAGUGCAAAAGAGCAGGCUUCUCUUGUCACCAGAGCAAGAAAACAGCUCCCCCCCUCCUUCUCCCUGUCGGUCUGAAGGAAAAACAAACCACUGACUUGCCUCCAUGGUCUUUUCCUGUCUGAAACGGGCGUUACUUCCCGUAGAUGUUUUUACAUGAGACAAAAAAAAUGGUAAAAGCUGACAUAACUUGGGUCAAGGGCAAUGGGAGGAGCCAUGAUUUCAGAAAAAGGAAUAAACAACCCAAUUAAAUGAACAAGACUGUGUCAGGGAGCUGUUGUGACAUAAUUAUUACAACAUCCCCUAAUUCAUCUUCCUCUUAAACACUGCUUGUCAUUAUCUAGCACACAAACACACAGAACCAUGACCCUCGCUUUGACAGAAACCACACAAUGAAAUUCCUUCUGCGAAAUUCACUGUGCAUCUGGCUACCUUAUUCGCUGUUAAUUUUAAUGUGAUUGCUCUGCUUUAAGGCUCGAGGAAUAACAAAAAACAGAGAUAAACUGCCUCUAGCAAUGUGUUGUCUAACAGCAGGCAGUAAUAGAAGGGAAGACACUUAGUUUUGGCGACAGCGAGCCAGAUAGUCAGCCAGGCAGUCAGGGUAGGGCACGGAGACAGGAGGCCAGGCAGAGGCAGCAGUGAUAAGGAGGCCCCAGCACUCACGGGAUUGAGGCCUGAGAUAAGAGCCCAGAGCUGUCGUUGGAUGACUUUAUCAUACUGCACCCGCUGGGGGUGGCAUUGCUGGGGCUGGAGUGGGGCCAGGGGAGCAAGAUAGGUCCAGGGUUGGAGUUGGUACAGGGACUGACGCUCACACAGGCACUGCGGUGGGGCUACUGGAUGGAAGGGCUGCUAGGCAGAGGAACGUCAGAAGGAAGACAACACAGACACCUCACCCUGUCAGACUUAUGCCACCACCUAAUAUAUUACUUUUACUAUUAUUAUUUAUUAGGGAGGAGAAAGUGAGAAAGAGGGACCGCAUGUGGGCAAGAGAGGCAGGCAGAGAAAGACAGCACAAAGCCUUCUGCUUUCUCACUGGUGGGGACGACUCAGUAAACCAGCUCACAGAAUGGCUCUCAGUUAAUUAAAUUCCAGCUUAUAAGUGGUGCUUUGGGAGAGAUUGUGGGGAGAAGAGAAAGGGUUGGGGUGGGGGGAUAUAACAGGUUUCUGCUUGCAACAACAGUCCUGGCCUAGCAUCCCCAAUUCUUUCUUCCAGUCUGUCUCUAUCUGUGCUCUCUCACGGCUCUAAACUGUAUCGUACUUUGUGAGCGGUGCUCAAUCUUGUUAGCUGCUCAAUUGAUUGAAAGUCAGAGGUUAGUGUAGGCCUAGCCCUGUGCUGAGGAACGCCAAGGGUCAACCUAUAGUGGGCAAAGUACAGUGCUGCAACAGCCACACACAGACAGCAAAGAAAAAAGAGGGGGACCAUAUAGACAGAUUGACAGAAACAUGAAACAUCAGGUAGAAAAAUGCAUUCUCCCAUUUAUAAAAAUCUGUACUCUAAACAGCUGUUCCCAAAGGACCAGUUCCCUACACAGGCACCACGGUGGACAGCAGACAGUUUGUCCUCCGAACACUGACAGCUCUCUUGGGAAGGUCCUGUUAUAUCACAGCACACAGAGACAAAUAAGCAGACACAAACCUGUAUAUAAAAAGGGGGGUGCUGUAGCCAGGAACAAGUUGUACUAUGCACCACAUGGCUCCGCCACACAGCGUGCAAUAGAACAAUGGACCGUUUAAUCUAUUACACAAACAAAGCUCAAAAAUGAGCCUGUAAGGAAAGGUAAGGGUAGCAUGGAAUAAAUAUUUCCGAUCAAUCUGACUAUUCUGUCCCCCACAGAAACACUCGCCAGACAAAAAAUAAAAACCCUCCCUUUCUCCUAUGCUCCGCUACCUUACAACAGUGCCUUCACUACUAGGCUACAUCUCUAGAUGUUAUAUGGGCUGUCUCCUCCUGCCAAGAGAAAAUAUAGCAAUUUGAAGCAGCUUGUUGGCUGGCAGAUCGUAAAGAGAAAUAAAAAAAUACGCCAUAGCAGGUGUCACCUCAGGGAGAUGAACAACUGCAACGCAAGGGGAUUUCAAAAAGGGGCCUGUCACUCGGCCAGAGUGACCUUGAGGGACUACACACAUAUUGGGAACUUAACAGGGACGUCCACGCCACUAAAGCAGGGUGGGGGCAGUCAGCACACACAUGGGUGGUGUCAGCUUUCUUCCGCCAUGGAAACAGCUGUGUAGACAUGCACAAAUGUUGGGUGGGUGAGGGAGACAUACGCAGCUGUCGGAAGGGUAUACACUUGAGAGAUGGACAAUUUGAGAAAGAGUUUAAAGGAAAAGGAAGGCAUUUAAGAUGUUCAAUCACAUUUAAACCUAUGAAACGGUACUUUCUCAGAAGAAAAGUGCUGUCAUUGAAAUUUUAUCAACAAUACACAAAAACUUUCGUCCCUCAGGAGACAAGACGGCUGAUGCCUUGUUGACAGCUUAGGACGGUCCUUAACUUUCUCUUUUUCAUACUCAUUUUUUGAUAACUCUACACUGACUGGUUAUGUUUCUACCUCUACGUGAGCAUCAAUAGCUUUUUAUGUAGCAUCUGCUCUCUCCUUGUCGCCUUUACAAGACACCCACUUUCAAUGAGACAGAGCUGACUCCUAUAACCGUAACACACACUGAGGAGAAAACUACACACGCACACACACACACAGAAAAAAAUAACUUUUUAGAUCAAACGUAAUUCAUACCACAAUACCACAACGUUAAAAUUCAGCACAACACAGGCCGCUUAACACAACACAUUAAAAAUAACACACAUGUGACAACAAUUUUAAGAAUAGUAGGCCAAAGGGAAGGGUUAUUAUUUCGAACACUUACUGUUUUCUUCUCCCUUUUUUUUAAAUUGAUAAAAUUGCACAGAUUGGAUUGUGCAUUUGAUGUUACCCUGUGUGGGGUCAGUUUACACCAGUAUGAGACAGGGAUUGGGAGGAGGCUGGCCUCGAAUAUCGGAUUAGGGCUUCAGCCCCGUCCAAAGGGGAAAGCAAACCAAACAGCCUCUAACAGGAACCAGACAGUCAGACAGGCCUCCUCUGCACCAGGGUGGCUUUCAUCACACACACACGCAAUUUUUGAAGACAGGGUAAAGUUUGGGCUGGUGCUGUGGAAACCCUUGUAAACCUCAGACGUGUGUGGCUUUAGAGGAGUCAGACUGAGGCUGGAGAGUUGCGAGUGUCCUGGCCAUGAUUUCUUAAAACGCCAGAGGAGGGAACGUUGUAUUCACUUUCUGUUUGAACGCUGCAUAGAAGCAUCAGACCAGUCCGGCAUUACAAGAUUGAUUUCUUAAUCCCUAACAAACCAGUUACUCCAAAGCCACAUCAAACUACAUGUUGAAAAGAAUGACGAGCGAAUCUGUUCCACCAUUUUAUUUCAGACAGUCGCUCAAUAACGUUUACUUUAAUUUUCCAAGUGAAGCAAAGCAUAGAUCUGUAAACGUAAAUCCACUCAUGUCAAAUUUUAGAUUUACAGUGUUGUAGUAUUUACAAAGUGUUUAGACAUGUUAAAUGUCUUUGAAUGCACUUCCGAGCACUUACUGCUUAUGCCACAUUCAGAAUGAAAUGCCUUUUCUAUCCUACUCCUUAGUCCCACAGUUAGCGCACAGCAUUGGUGGUUUAUAUGAGUAGUUAACACUGACAAAACGCAAAGAAAGGCCUCGUACAAAAUGUGACACAAUUCACCCCUGGAAAAACUGAAAAUACCUCGGCUGUUUCAGAAAUGUUGUGUUCCUUCUGAACACCGGGGGAUUUAGGAAGUCACAGAGAAACAAACUUUUCAAUGUGAUAGAAAAGUUUAGUGAUUUUCUUAUUUUAAAAAUACAACCUUAUCAACAAAGUCACUUUUGGUCAUUCUGGGUUGCAAACAGAAUUCUUUGUUAAUUAGCUCCACAAAGUAAACGCCAAUAAGUGGAAAAUGUAUUGUACAUUAGAUUAUUUCUUCUUUUUUUUUUAACUAACUGUUGACCACACUGAAGCUAAAAAACGGGUUCUUGUUUUCAGUGGGUUAGGCUCAUACAGUGUGCCAACUGCAGCGCGGCUGAGUUGUUAGAGUAAAUGAGAGCUUCACAAACUGUGUGCAUGAACCCUUUUCUUUACUGUUCAGACGAUUGCUAAGGCCUAUGACUAUGGGGGCUGGGAAAUGGCAAAGAGGCACAGCGAUGAAAAGGAAAACAAGUCUGCUUCCUGACUCUCCCCUCAAUCAAAACAUCAAAGCACCAAUCACUCCCAGUUGAGUCCAAAAAAGCAAUUGGCUCCUGUAGAAGUAAGGCAUUUACAACAUUUCUGCAGGUCUGAACCUGAAACCAAAAGUCCCAAUUUCUCCAGAUGAAAAGCAUUGUAAUAAUGUGGUGACAUUCAAUAGGAAGAUUAGAGGAACCUCACUAUCUAUCGCACCAAAAUAACAUUCAGGUUUAAAUUGCACUUGAGUAGAGACAUUUUAGUUAGCGUUAGAUACAUUUAUGUUUGCUCUGUUGUAGCUUUCUAGCGGGGCAGGGAGGAAAUAGUCCACUUUACGUCCAAUGUGUUUUGUUUAUCACUCAUCAAGGAAGUAAGAAUUUCUUUGCAGACCGGUUUAGCAACUACAUACUACAGAGCCUACUCAUCCAGACAAGCAACCGAAACUAUAAAAGGUCACCUUGGGUGUUGUAGUCUAGAUGCUCCAGUGGUUCGGCAGUCUGGUGAUGGAAAUGCCUGUUGGUCUGCCUGUUGUCACCCAGACAGGGGCGAGACAGCUGGAGCCACUUGUGAUAGACGGCAUUGAUGGGAAAACAUCCCCUCCAAACUCCCACCUCAAACCUGCCAAUCAUCAAUCAACAGGAGGACAUGACACUCAAAAUCACACUUUACCAUUUUACAGUAAGGGGCACUUAAACAGGCUGAGGAUAAACAAGUUUAACCCACUCCUCCUUCCUCAUUUCUUCCCUUGUGGAAAACACACUGGUGUCAAUAUGGCUUAAAGAAGUCCAGCUGAUGCUGCAUCUAUGCCCCCCAAUUGCUAACAGUGUGGAUCCAUUCCUGCUCCUACUGAAGACGGCUGUAUUUGUUUACUUGCUCGUACGCCUGUUUGUGCGCGCCUGCCAGCCCGUAGCAAGGAAAGAAAUGAGUGUUUGUAAGUGAUAAGACCUGUAGGAGAGGAAGAGGAGGAAGAAGAAUGGAGAAAGUGGGAGAAGGAGAGCAACGGAGAGAAUCCUCAUUGAUCACAUCUGUGAGAUGGAUUGAUCCUGUGGUGCGGUCUACUCUGGGAUCUAAACACACACAGAAUCAUGAUGAAAAUCCCACACAUAAGCACAGAUAAGAGAAUCACAAACCUAAACAGUAAAUCAGGAUGUGAGAUUUUAGCAGACUUUAUUAAUAUUUAAGGGGAGCUUUGCAGAGGACUGCACAAGGAAAACAGAAUAUGAGCUCCUCUUUCAAAGUGUUUACAUUAUUCCUCCACUCUUGAAUUAAGCCUGUGAAUCAGACACCUGGCAUAUGGAGAGGCAGAUAGAUAAAUCUCCAUUGUGUUGUCCUGUCUCGCACAUGCUCAGUAGCUUCCUGGAUGAGCGUGGACUCCGGCAGGCAGACGUGAACAAGACGACUCAUUCCCAGGGGGGCAUUUAUUUCUGUUGCGUGGCACAAUCCCCUCAUUUCUGGUCCUAACAAUCUGUCUUUUGAGACUCUAACAUCAAAAUAAGAGAGACAGCUCAGCAUUAGGAACAAGAGGAAAAGAGGGAAGGAAGUGAUAAAGGGGAAGAGAGAUGAAGACUUCCCGAGUGCUUAGUAAAUCCUCCACUGUACACAGGGUUGCACUGAAACAUGCGACACACAACCCAGCUUUCAUCAUAUUAAGUGCACCCACAUGGAUGAAUUACUUGAUUUUCAACACACAAAGCUGGGCACAUUCAUCUUGUUUGUUCAGAUAAGGGAGCGUGGUGAUGUCGUUAAGUGGCAGUUGUCGCCUCAAUUCCCUUCUGUUUUUCCACUUGUGAGGGAAAAACAGAUAAUCAAGUGGUGGAGUCUGUAUCCCCGCUCCCCAGCUCCUCCUCCUCCUGUUCUUUGGUCUCUUAUUCUUCUCUCUGCAGCUGACUGCUCCUAAAUCUCAGGUCUGGCCGGAGCUAGACAGAUCUCUCUAUCAGGUGACACAACAUCCCACUUCCCUCCAUCCAUCCAUCUCGGCCCACACAGCCUCUCUUUCCCUUCAUUUCUCUCUGCGCUGGAUUAAUCUUGGACUGCUGGUCUCUCUCGGAGCUCGGGCGCAAUGUAUCUCCCUGUAUUCCUCUUUAUUCAACAUGUUCUCUCUCUCAAACACACACACAUAUACCACGAACAUCUUCACGCUGCCUUUCCUCUUCCAAAAUUGUCUUUUUCCUUCCUUCUUCAUUCUUAGUCUUUUCUCUACUUUUCUCAAUCUCUUUUUUCCCCUCCGUCAACAGAACACUAUCGGCGUGUUUGUGUAGCUUUUGUUGCACAGCUCACUGCAAUACAAAAGCCUUUGUUGGCUUGCCACCACUGUGAUGUGGUGAGACGGAGAUGCACAAGGACAAACUUGAGCUCCGUGGAGCCAGCUUUCAGAAAGUCACUGUUCAUUCUGAGAUAACGGCUCUCCCUGAAGGCUGGAGUAGCUGGUGGGGUGCGUGCCAGACACACAUGUAAACACUUGUCUGCGUAGUCGACUGUGUUGAUCUGUGAGGCUGUAUGAAUUCUGUGUAUAAAUCGUCCCAUGUCGGUGCAAUGCUUGCCAUUUCCAUCAAUAAAAUGGCUUGCAUGUGUUCCUCAGUGGGAGUUAUUGAUGGCUGCAGGGCAGUGGCAGCUGUUGUGAGGGGCUGAGCUAGCUAGGCUAAUAAUAACCCGGAGCUGAGUGAGUGCCCACAGGCCCCAUAUCGUCUGGGGUUGACCCCCGGAGUCCAGUUGCAGUGGAGAGUGAGGAUUAGGCCAGGUCACGGAUUAGAGAAUGCUAUUUCACCCUUGUAAGGACAAAGGCAGGUGUGAAGGAAUGGUACACACUCAGUGGUUAACGUUUGGGAAGCCUGUGGAAAACACGCGUGCUGACCAUGUGGUACAUUAAGUAUUUCACCAAAAUCCAGUUAGCAGUGAGUUUUAUACUACAAACUAAUUGGAAUACACACACAUUGGAGCAGUGAGACAUAACAUAGACAAAUGAUAGACACAUGAUCAACAAGUUCUUUACCUUGAAUUCUGAGCUGAGGCUUGUUUAGCAAAGCCAGAGUUUUCUUAGUUUCCUUAGUUCCUAUCUGGGCCGAGGAGAAAUUAACAAAAAGGCAAAUGGACAAGCACAAAGAUGAAUAACAUGUUAGAUCAGUACCAUCGCCCCCACAUGCCAUCAGGCAGAUCUUUCACAAUAGACAAGGGAUCCAAAAAAACAGCAACAAUUCGGAAAUCCUUUCAACUGAAAAUAAUAAUGUGGCUUUGUCUGCGACAGAUACUAUCUGCUGUAGGGAAGUAGAGCAUGAUGUUAUAACCUGUGCUCUAUGACUGGAGGAAAUACUCUGAAUAGGAGGCAAUUUAUUUCCUUGUGUAUGUUGGGGCACAAAAUGAUCAAUUGUUCAUUAUGACUAAGGGAAAAGGUUAGAAUAUGAUGAUCAGGACAAUUUCUGCUUUAUGCUAAAUUUGUUUUUGAGGCCUUUUUUUCAUGUCCGAGCACAGGGCGAGAUACGGGAGAAAUUCAAGCAAUGUCAUGCUUGGUCUUUCCGGCCUGUAGGUCUGGACCAGUCAUGCGUUGAUGCCUUUGAUAGGGCAGAUAACCUCAUUGGCUGCCUCCUUUCCUGUUCAUUUCACAGUUCACUCUAUUACUUGCAUGAGCAAUUACAGCUUGGUGUUGUUGUUUGGUAUUAUUUUUCCUUUGUGUGUGUGUGUGUAUGUGUGUAGCUCUUGAUUGGAGGCCAUAUUCGCUGUUCCUUUCCAGACUGUCACCUUUCUUAAUGAGCUUCAGUGGGUUCCUGAAGAGGUCGAAACGGACACCAUUUAGCAUUUAAUGCCCAUUAGCGCCUGUGAUGUGACCUAAUUGAGCCAAAGCAAUCAGAUUGCCUGGCCCUUUAAGUGCGAAGAAUUGAAGUGAACUCUGUAUAUUAUGGCUUGUAUGACAUUGUAUAUUGUAUAUUGCUAGCUUGAAGCAAAAUGCUAUGAUGAACAGAUAGAGAGCUGUGAGUAAAAUUUCUGACAAAUCCUGUUCUGAAAAACAAUAUUUGAAGCACUCUAUGAAAAAAAAAGCUUAACAAAUGUUCACCAUUUUUCACUUUGUCCUUUUUCUCUACUUGUCCUCUUUAUCUCUAACCUCUCCUUCCUUUGCUGGCUAGCUGCUAGCCUGUGGCUCAGUAAAAUUGGACAGGUGAAGCGGGACAGCGGGGUGUCACUGAUACAGUUCGACAGAACCGCAGGCUGUUCAGAGUUCGAUCAGCUCAUCAAGCGAGAACAGAGGUGAAACUGCCACCCCCCCUUUAAAAGUAGUUCAUGUGUUUGUACCGUUGCUAUAUUUGUUUCAUUAUGCAGCUGUACUUAUUAAGAUAAAAUAUGUGUUUUGGGUUGAAAGGGGACCGCACUGCACUCCUUUUCGUCUUUCACUGCACAGAUCAAGCAGCAGCACGGCCGGGUUGAGCAGUGUGGAACACCUAUUCAGUAACAUUCUUUUCAAGAUGUGCUGAGGUUGAAAUAUGAGCAUUAUGAACUUGUCUUCUGGUUGAGAAUAGAUUCCUCCGCAGGCCUGUAAAGUUGCUUUUGCUGGAGACAUGACUUACAAUAAGAGACAGUGCAAGUGUCCUUGUGAGUGUCAGAAAUCAAUUACGCUAUGUUUCCCCUGUGGGUCGCAGGGUUGUAUAUGUAUAUGCGCAAGUGUGUGACUGUGUGUGUGUGUGUGUGAAACACGUUUGCUAAAACUUCCAUUGUGUCUGGGAAGAAAUUUACGCUGUGACUUUAAUGCAGUAGAGAGGAUAGGGGGAGAGAGCACCUUCAAUCUGCACAGUGUGAGAACACAGAGUUGGUUAAAGAUACUGAGUUAUUGGCUGGUCUGGAUAAACAAAAAAAAGCACGUAUGUUGUCAUGCACUAACAAUCACAAACAAGCCCACAUGCACACCGAGAUGCACACCCAAAACACUAAGACCACAAUGGGGUAUUUGAGUUCAAAGGAUGUUAACCAAACGUGUGUGUGUAUGGGUGUUUGUCUGGAGGAAUGCUGUCGGCCAUCAUUCUUAUGUGUCUUUCCCUGCAUGUUUAGACAGGCUCUGUCUCCAGCUGGGUUUGUGACAGAAUGGGUACAGUGGUAAAACACAAUACAAAACAGCACCGCAGUGGAGGACCAAAGAACAAACUUUUUACAGUCCACGUUCAAGCAUCCCAGUGAGUGGUUGAUAGUCAAAAGAGAUUUUGGGUGAGGUUUCACUUUAAAAUCAAUACAAAUUUCAAUUCAAUGUUUUCAUACAUUUUGAAAGAGUGUUUGUCACAUUUUUCAUCUGAUGUAUAUCUCUGUUUGAAAUAAAAGUCACUAUGCAUCAAGGAUUCCUUAUCAGAUAGCUAAAUAAAUUACUAAAGUAAUAAAAAAAUGACCAAUACAUGUAUAAUAUAUUAAACAUACUGGUAUAUUUUAAUAAGGCAAAUUUGUUCUGUCAAGCUUGUAUUGCUUUUAACAAGUUACAGUAAUAAACACACAGAUACAGAUGGACAAAAUACCUCAUGACUUGCUGUUAUGAAUUUAAUAGGGGUUUAAAAGGAUAUGCUAGAGAGCAGAGCGGGUAGAGCGGUAGGAGGAGAGGGUUUGUGCUCGGCAAAGCGGAGCACAACAGAGCAGAGGAAGGAACGCUGGGUGUCCGUGGGGUAAGAGAUCAGUUCAGAAACAAAAAAAGAACAAAUGGAGUGAAGUUGAGAUUAGGGGAGGGCUUGGAUAAAGACAGGGAUAAGAUAAGAGUUUUAUUUAGAGGUGGGGGGCAGAUAAA